GGGGUCUGAUGAGUCCAGAUUUACCAUGUUCCAGAGUGAUGGGCGUAUCAGGGUAAGAAGAGAGGCAGGUGAAGGGAUGCACCCAUCAUGCAUAGUACCUACUGUACAAGCCUGUGGGGGCAGUGCUAUGAUCUGGGGUAGCUGCAGUUGGUCAGGUCUUGGUUCAGCAACAUUAUGUGUCCAAAAAAUAAGGUCAGCUGACUACCUGAAUAUACUGAAUGACCAGGUUAUUCCAUCAAUGGAUUUUUUC